rnacentral:rRNA from 1 species
GAGAAAUUGGUUCAAGAGAAAGAUCUUUUGAAUGGAACAAUGCGAAAUAUUCUUAAAUGUUAGAAUAACCGCCCGCCACUCAUGAGGCUGGUAAGGUUAAGUUUUUUUCAAUAAUUGAAACAAAAUGAUUGUUUAGGAGAAUCAAAGAUCCACAGAGUUUGAUCUUUGUUUUUAGAAUAACGACGAGUGAGAUUGAUGAGAUUAUCGUACCCCUGGACUGGUCACACCUUUAGUAAAGUGUGUCAUGCCUGUAUGUGAAAUAAUUUUUCAUCGUGAAAUGACGCCUCACAGUAUAAUGUCUUGUUCGUGGAGACACAUACCAGUUUGGCAGAUUAAUAAAUAUAAAGGUGAUAAUUAUAUAAAAUUAAAUAGAAGGAUGUACCCACAGAUUAGGUGAAACUUUAAAAUAAAGAAGGGAAUUUCUAAAGAAAAAUGGAUUAUAGGGAUUUCUCUAAAACUUGAGAUGAUAAGAAAAAAUUUAUGGUUAUUCAUAUUGGCACUAAUGACCGUGAAUAAAAUAGACCAGUUGUGAAUUGAUUUAGUUUAGGUAAGUAACAAAUUAGAGUUAAUCAGGAGAGAUACAAUUUCAGAUUCUAGUAUUAAAUUCGAGAAAAUUUUGUAAAAGAUAUUAUUUGUUUGUAUUCCACUUUAUUUGGAA